rfam:Candidatus Magasanikbacteria bacterium RIFCSPHIGHO2_01_FTLL_50_8 rifcsphigho2_01_scaffold_16138, whole genome shotgun sequence.
CACGAACAGCGGAUGAGUGCCCCAAGCAGCCAUGAGCUGCGGGGAGGAAAGUCCGGACACCCUUUGUGCGGCAACGCACAACAGUCAUGGUGCUGGCUAACGGCCAGGCAUUCUGCGGGGUAUAAACGACGCGCCAUUAAAAGCGCCCGCGAAAACCUUCUGACGGAAAGUGCCACAGAGACAAUUAAAGCUGCGCGCGGCAACGCACGCGGCCAAAGGUGAAAAGUGAGAUGGUGUGAUUUUAUGACUGUGCGAUUCCCUAAAGGAAGCGCACGAUCCGGUCGCUACAUCUCUUGCGCGCUGCGCGAGUGGCGCGUGUGGCAAACCCCACCUGGUGCAAGUAGAGAUCCUACGCAACGAGCUGUCCGAGUAAUCGGCAGCCCAGACAGAUACUCAUCACUCGCGCGAUUCGCGCGCGAUGACAAAAUCCGGCUUAUAGUUGUUGGUGGAAA